GGUCUGGUGGUGUAACGGCAACACACCUGCUUUACAUAUGUUGAUCGGAAGAAGGUUGGCAGGGGUUCCUUGUUCGACUUGAGGUCAGGCCA